rnacentral:lncRNA from 1 species
UGGCGGGCGAUGGCCUCGGCCAAAGGACGGGGAGCGAAGUCCGGGAGGCAGCGGAACCGGGGUGCAGGGUGCGGUGAGGCGACCAGGGCGGGCGAGGUCCGGGACCUGGCAUUUGGGUCUCCCGGCCGCAGGCGCGCGCGCGAGGGUUUCAGCCUGUGUCUAGGGCCCAUGGGGAGCUUUCACCUCCGGCCUCCUGAGGAAAGCUUUGGCCAUGUGACUUAUCUGGUUAAUGAACUGUUGGCGGAAGCAUAUGUGUCACUUUUGGGCAGAGGCCUCUAAGGGCCAUAGUGGUGGUUCCAGAUGGUGGAGGCUCCAUCAGCCUAAGCCUUGGAGGGAGAACUCUGUUUGGGUUCCACCAUCGGAGGAGAUGCCCUGGUUCAGGGGUAAAUCCUGACUUGUCUAAACCAAUCAUGACAGAGCCAUCUCCCUGCCUGCGGUUGGCUGGGGCUGAGCUCGUGACCGAGAUUUGACCAUGGAGACAGAUGUGGAAGUACUUGCCAUGGGCCUUCUUGUUAAAAAGAAACACAGAAUGCAGAAUUUCCUGGAUUUUAGGACGUUAUAUGACACCCCCAUCAGACUCCAAGGCAGCACCUCCUGAUGAAACACAUUAAUUAAUGGUUCUGCAGCAGAAUGUAAAAAAUAUUCUUAUCAAGCAAGACGAGUCAAGACUGCAAAUACCUGUGGAUUAGUCCACAUUGAGUCUUGCUGCUGAAUGAAAUAGCCUCAAACCUAGCAAAGCCCAGACAUCUUUCUGGUCUUCAGAACUUUGUGAAUUUUGGGUUGAGGAUAGGGACUGUGGACAUGAAUCAUUCUUCAAUGCUUUCGUCUGCAUUUCCCUGACUACUUGAGAUGUUGAACUGACACUGGCCCUGAUAUUGGUCCCCGUGUGUUAAUCCAGCACAUGUGGGGUUAAAACCGAAAGCACUCAUCCCCUUUACUGCUUACUCUUUGGCUAUCUGGCACCAGAAUCCUCCCUCCACGGAGGCAGACAAGGACACCCACCUGUGGAUUCCCUUAGCUCACCAGCCCUUUUCCUACAAGCAGCCACAUUCCUUGCAAGCUUUAAAACCCCUUGCCUCCCAUCUUUUGGGGAGAUGAGAGAAAUUUGAGGGCUCACUCUUGUCUCCCGGCUGACAUCGCCUGAAAUAAAAACCUUUCCUUGCUGUAAGCCUGGUGUUCAGGUUUUAUUUGGCUCCUCUUGUGUGGUGGGUGAAGAAC